rnacentral:rRNA from 1 species
GACGAACGCUGGCGGCGUGCUUAACACAUGCAAGUCGAGCGGUAAGGCCCUUUCGGGGUACGACGAGCGGCGAACGGGUGAGUAACACGUGGGUGACCUGCCCUUACGCUCUGGGAUAAGCCUGGGAAACGUGGGUCGUAAUACCGGAUAUGACUCCAUGACGCAUGUUGUGGGGUGGAAAGCCUUGUGCGGCUAGGGAUGGGCCUGCGGCCUAUCAGCUUGUUGGUGGGGUGAUGGCCUACCAAGGCGACGACGGGUAGCCGGCCUGAGAGGGCGACCGGCCACACUGGGACUGAGACACGGCCCAGACUCCUACGGGAGGCAGCGAGUGGGGAAUCUUGCGCAAUGGGCAAAGCCUGACGCAGCGACGCCGCGUGGGGAUGACGGCCU